UAGCGUCUUUAUUCAGCUGCACAACUCACAAAAACUCCCUCAAUCAGUCAGCUCCAUGCGUGGACAUAACUGCACGGCGAAAACAGCGCACGGUCCAAAUGACGGGUUAUUCCGUUUAAUAAUACACGGAAGAGGAAUUUCUUACGGUGGUAAAUUAUACAUGAAAACUACGGCGGAGAAGUGCAGAGAAGCCUGGUGGAGGUACAAGCUGGAACAUCUCCUCCUGCACAAGGAGGAUGAUUUGUGUUCACGCCGGCGCAUUGUGAGAGGGUGAGUCACAACACUGUUUUCCUGUCAAGUGCGAGGACAGACGAGGCCCUGAAUUUUUAAUAACUUUUACUCUGUAUGUUCAUAUUUGUAAUACAACUGAUAAACGGCUCAUAUCACAGAUCCCUCUCAUCCUCGGCCUUGAGGAUGAAGUCAUAACUCCAGCUAGCAGAUGUUCUCCUGUAAACACCCCAGUAGGAUGAAUGGGGCCCUCUACAGGUUAAGACGGAAACUUAACCUACAAAUUGCAGCCACAGGACAAUUUGCUGCGAGUGGUGAUCAAAGUCCUCGAGCGCCAUCGCUGUUCUGUUGUGCAGCGUGCGAGCUCAAUGUCAUGUGUUCACACGGUGGAACACCUCCAAGCAAAUUUUAACGCCUGCUUUGAAGUUCAAAGUUCUGGCUGCUGUGGCUGGUGCCAGAUGUGACCCCGGGGCCGGGCAGAAUCGCUGAGCGAGCGCACCUUUGGUGGUGAUGAGGUAAGGGUUGUGGUUGGCCUCGGGGGGCCGAGAGGUCCGACACAAAGACAAGAACAACAUCUGGGACCUCGACGCGGAGCAAAGUGCUUCUAUUAGAGCAGCAAAACAACGUGGACUCUGUCACUUCCGGAUGCGGCCUCGUGGCUCCCGUCUGAAUUUGAUUUACAUCGGACAGAUUGUAUCUGCAGCUUCGCUCUUCGGGAUUGAAGACGGUCGUCACCCGAGGAGCUGAAGACAUUUAUUUCAACCAAAAUAAUUGACGGUUUUCAUGCAGUGGCGUGUCCUGCUUCUGUCUCCGGACCCGCUGGACAGAAAUACUAGUGAGUCAAGUUGUAACGAAACCUGCACGUUUUCUAACCUACACGUUCCCUUAGUGGAUAUUAAAACAUAGUUUGACCCGUCUUUGGUCUCAUUCUAUAUUUCCUGACAGACGGCGCCACCUUCAGGCACAUAUUUGCACGUGCACCUUUUUUCUGGCCCGCAUUGACGUGCGGUUGACUUUGGGAGGUGGUGCUGCAUAACUGAGCUUGAGUGAGUCAGGAAUUUCUUUCAGAUAAAGAUCUCUUCUGAAUUCAGGUAGAUGGCACCAGUGUGUGUGUGUGUGUGUGUGUGUGUGAAGGAGGUGGGAGGAGGGAGGGAAGGUUUAUAUUUAAUUAUUACAUCUCAUGCUGCAGUGGAGAGACAGACGGUGGCACAAAUUGC
ensembl:lncRNA